rnacentral:rRNA from 1 species
AACGAACGCUGGCGGCAUGCCUAACACAUGCAAGUCGAACGCUACCUUCGUGCCUAGUGCCUCACGGGUGCGUAACGCGUGGGAACCUGCCCUUAGGUUCGGACUAACUUCACCAACGCGUCACUAAUGCCGGAUACUGUCAUCCGGCCAAAGAUUCCUCGCCAUUGUUUGUGCCGGAGUUGGAUUAGCUAGUUGGUAGGGUAAGAGGCUACCAAGGCGACGAUCCAUAGCUGGUCUGAGAGGAUGAGCAGCCACACUGGGACUGAGACACGGCCCAGACUCCUACGGGAGGCAGCAGUGUGGGAUAGUGGACCGUGGGCGAAAUCCUGAUCCAGCAAUGCCGCGUGAGUGAUGAAGGCCUUAGGGUUGUAAAGCUCUUUUACCCGAGAUGAUAAUGACAGUACCGGGAGAAUAAGCUCCGGCUAACUCCGUG